ensembl:processed_transcript Platr14 pluripotency associated transcript 14
GGUCUUUUGGAAUGGGGACAGCAUAUAUGUAAGAUGUAGCUGCUAGAGUUUCCCGGUAUCAUGGCGGAUGUGUAAGGAUUCGCCACCAGAGGAAUCAGAUUUUAAUAAGGCUUACAAGAUUAGGUUUUAGUUGUUGUGCCCAGAGAUUGAGUUACCAUUGUUUCUGAACUAAGUUUGUGUUGGCUUUCCCUUCACACAGUGGGGGCGGCUCAUCUGGGUUCAAGAGAGAAAGGGUUCAGACUACAAACUGCUUCUGUGUGACUAAGAGAAGAAGAAUCAGAGUAAAGAGAAACAUACUCUCUUAAUCUCCGAAGAUUAACGGCAGGAGGAGCUCUAGAAUUUCACAAAGGUGCUGUCAGGACACAUGAAAAUCUAGAGAAAAAGACCAGCUUGAAGAGACCAAAAAGAAGAAAGCCUGCCAAUCACAUCCUCCAGAGAUUCUGAGACACACACACCCCUGGUGUAGGGGGACACCAUCUGAAAGGUGACACCCACUCUACGGAAUAUAAGUACCAGCUAAAGAGGACACACACUUGAAGAAAAAGGAGACAAUGAGGUCUUGUGAAUGCUCUAAUUUUUCAAAGCUUACUUUUAAUGAUGGUUCUUAAACGCUUUAACCUCCCUUCUAGUCCACCACCCACCAAAGGUAGUGAAAAGAAAGGUGAUUAGGAUACAGG